UACGGAGGGGGCGAGCGUUGUUCGGAAUUACUGGGCGUAAAGGGCGCGUAGGCGGCCCAUCAAGUUAGACGUGAAAGCCCCGGGCUCAACCUGGGAAUUGCGUUUAAGACUGGUGAGCUAGAGGACGAGAGAGGAAAGUGGAAUUCCUAGUGUAGAGGUGAAAUUCGUAGAUAUUAGGAAGAACACCGGUGGCGAAGGCGACUUUCUGGCUCGUAACUGACGCUGAGGCGCGAAAGCGUGGGGAGCAAACAGG
rnacentral:rRNA from 1 species